AGCGAACGCUGGCGGCAGGCCUAACACAUGCAAGUCGAACGAACUCUUCGGAGUUAGUGGCGGACGGGUGAGUAACACGUGGGAACGUGCCUUUUGGUUCGGAAUAACUCAGGGAAACUUGUGCUAAUACCGAAUGUGCCCUUCGGGGGAAAGAUUUAUCGCCAUUAGAGCGGCCCGCGUCUGAUUGGCUAGUUGGUGAGGUAACGGCUCGCCAAGGAGAAGAUGAGUAGGUGGUCUGAGAGGAUGACCAGCCACACUGGGACUGAGACACGGCCCACGCUCCUACGCAAUGCAGCAGAGGGGAAUCUUGCGCAAUGGGCGAAAACCUGACGCCGCCAUGCCGCGUGAAUGAUGAAGGUGGUAGGAUUGAAAAAUUCUUUCACCGGGGACGAUAAUGACGGUACCCGGACAAGAAGCCCCGGCUAACUUCGUG
rnacentral:rRNA from 1 species